CGACUCGGGGUUCUCAAACAGCAGCAGCAGCAACGACGGUAGCUCAGCAUUGUCGCCGGCUACGUUCUUCGUCGUCCGCACAGCUACAACAUCGCAAGACUGUUAAGUGACAUAAUAAGAUCUGCAGACUGCAGCGCUUCCGCCAUGGACACAUCCCAUUCUGGACAGAGCAACCUUAACUCCUCGAUUGGAGGCUUAUUGAUGACCGAAUUUCUUAACAAAAUCAGAAAAAUUUUGUACAUGAAUCAAUAAAUAUUGUGCAAAAAAGA